UUGCCAGCCGCCGCGGUUAUACGAGAGGCCCAAGUUGACAGACCACGGCGUAAAGAGUGGUUAGGGAAAUUUCUAAACUAAAGCCGAACGCUUCCUGAGAGCUGUUAUACGCAUAUCGAAGUAUGAAGACCAACAACGAAAGUGGCUUUAACCUUUAACCUGAACCCACGAGAGCUAAGGAACAAACUGGGAUUAGAUACCCCACUAUGCUUAGCCCUAAACAUUGACUGUGAACUACACCCCACAUCCGCCCGGGAACUACGAACGUAAGUUUAAAACCCAACGGACUUGGCGG
rnacentral:rRNA from 1 species